AUGCUGCUACCUGGAGGAGACAAGAAUUUACCUCUAUUAUUUCUUAAAUUUGUGCCAGACCUGGUUCAUGUGUUUGAAGUGUUUCUGCCCCAACGUCUUUUAUAUCCCAACCCAUUGGAUCCAUUGAAUGGAGAGGCAGCUGCUAUGCAUGAUCGUUCUGCUUAUGAACAAAGAGUAAAAGGUAGUAAUUAUUUGCAGCUUUUUUGAAUUGAGUAUACAUUGGUUGCCUCUUGUAUGGCUUGCACUGACAUGCUUGAGACUUACUUUAGUUCCUUCCUUUUUUCGUUGUUCGCAUAUACAGCCUUCGUUGCAGGAGGCAGAGGAGGAUUUCAAAAUCAUAACUGGACUGUUUUUAAGAAAGUUUUGAAGGUCAUGAAUCUGUGA
rnacentral:lncRNA from 1 species